rnacentral:rRNA from 1 species
UCCAGACUCCUACGGGAGGCAGCAGUGGGGAAUAUUGCACAAUGGGGGGAACCCUGAUGCAGCGACGCCGCGUGGGUGAAGGAGCGUUUCGGCGCGUAAAGCCCUAUCGGCAGGGAAGAAGGAGGACGGUACCUGACUAAGAAGCCCCGGCUAACUACGUGCCAGCAGCCGCGGUAAUACGUAGGGGGCAAGCGUUAUCCGGAUUUACUGGGUGUAAAGGGGGCGCAGACGGCAGCGCAAGCCAGGAGUGAAAGCCCGGGGCCCAACCCCGGGACUGCUCUUGGAACUGCGCGGCUGGAGUGCAGGAGGGGCAGGCGGAAUUCCUGGUGUAGCGGUGAAAUGCGUAGAUAUCAGGAGGAACACCGGUGGCGAAGGCGGCCUGCUGGACUGCGACUGACGUUGAGGCCCGAAAGCGUGGGGAGCAAACAGGAUUAGAUACCCGCGUA